rnacentral:rRNA from 1 species
UAGGGAAUCUUCGGCAAUGGGGGGAACCCUGACCGAGCAACGCCGCGUGAGUGAAGAAGGUUUUCGGAUCGUAAAGCUCUGUUGUUAAGGAAGAACGAGUGUGAGAAUGGAAAGUUCAUGCUGUGACGGUACUUAACCAGAAAGGGACGGCUAACUACGUGCCAGCAGCCGCGGUAAUACGUAGGUCCCGAGCGUUGUCCGGAUUUAUUGGGCGUAAAGCGAGCGCAGGCGGUUAGAUAAGUCUGAAGUUAAAGGCAGUGGCUCAACCAUUGUAGGCUUUGGAAACUGUUUAACUUGAGUGCAGAAGGGGAGAGUGGAAUUCCAUGUGUAGCGGUGAAAUGCGUAGAUAUAUGGAGGAACACCGGUGGCGAAAGCGGCUCUCUGGUCUGUAACUGACGCUGAGGCUCGAAAGCGUGGGGAUCAAACAGG